rnacentral:rRNA from 1 species
CCUACGGGAGGCAGCAGUGGGGAAUAUUGCACAAUGGGGGAAACCCUGAUGCAGCGACGCCGCGUGAGUGAAGAAGUAUUUCGGUAUGUAAAGCUCUAUCAGCAGGGAAGAAGAAAGACGGUACCUGACUAAGAAGCCCCGGCUAACUACCUGCCAGCAGCCGCGGUAAUACGUAGGGGGCAAGCGUUAGCCGGAUUUACUGGGUGGAACGGGAGCGUAGACGGCUGUGCAAGUCUGAAGUGAAAGCCCAGGGCUCAACACUGGGACUGCUUUGGAAACUGUGUGGCUAGGGUGCUUGAGAGGUAAGUGGAAUUCCUAGUGUAGCGGUGAAAUGCGUAGAUAUUAGGAGGAACACCAGUGGCGAAGGCGGCUUACUGGACAGUAACUGACGUUGAGGCUCGAAAGCGUGGGGAGCAAACAGGAUUAGAUACCCCUGUAGUC